AAACAAAAUGGAAAAGUUUCCAACUUGUUACUUCCGGUUGAAGAGAAUGUUUCGCCAAUGGUUCAAGAUAUUACGAAGGAUGUUUCGGAGAUCAAAAUAUUUGAAGAAAAGCCCAAGGAAGAACUUGUAGAAGUGGAACCUGAAUGCAUUUUCAACGAUCUUCGCUACGAAAGAUAUACGAUUCAGCAUCAAGAUCUUUUGUAAGUCAAUACGGGUCAAACACAAAAGGAGAAAAAAAAAUGUUCAUACAACUUAAAACCCGUUUUUUAAAUAUCAUAUCAACAUUAAAUCUCUUUAAUAAUUAUUUCGUCUGGAAAACUUUUUCUGGAUCAUAAAAAAAAUCAGCUUAACCGGAAUUUCUUUAAUUUUUCUCGCUUUUGAAUCUGAAAAGAUCUCCUUCUGUAGACUGUUCGGAUGGCAAGUAGUUGAGUUCAAGUGAUAAUUAAAAAUAUAUACAGAUACUUUUGAUACUUUUAACUCAUUUUAUAACAUCAGUCAUAUUAUCAAA